UUUUUCAGAGCAUCAGUUGGUAUAUUGAAAAUGUAAAGUAAAACUUUAUAAACAUUCGAAUGUAAAGAAACAAAAUAUAAAAAUGAAUAUUACUCUUUAUAUACAAAUGUAUAUGUUUGUGUGUCUGUAUAAAAAAGAAGAUGUGGUAUGAUUGCCAAUGAGACAACUCUCCACAAGAGACCAAAUGACACAGAAAUUAAUAACUCUAGGUCACCUUAUGGCCUUCAACAAUGAGCAAAGCCCGUACCGCAUAGUUCACUUUAAAAGGCCCCGAAAUGACAAAUGUAAAACAAUUUAAAUGAGAAAACUAACAGCAUAAUUUAUGUACAAAAAAUGAACAAAAAACAAAUAUUUAACACAUCAACAAACAACAACCACUGAAUUACAGGCUCCUGAUUUUGGACAGGCACAUACAUACAGAAUGUGGUGAGGUUAAACACGUUAGCGGGCGCCCAAUCCUUCCCCUGACCUGUCACAGUACAACAUCAGAAUGAACUAUAAAAAUCAGUUGUACCACGAGAGACAAGAAUUGUUUUGAAAUAUGACAUCUGUCUUUGUAUAGUCAUGAUAGUUUUAGAAUGUUCCCUUUUCAUUAACAUUUUAUUUAAUGAAAUAUUCUUAUUCUUAUAUAGCAUGUAUAGUAAAUGCUUAUAAAUAAAAAUAAACAACAA
rnacentral:lncRNA from 1 species